rnacentral:lncRNA from 1 species
ACUCGAUAACUGCAACGGUGAUGUCAUGUGUGUGUCUACUUUAGAGAGCAGAUGGUCGAUCUGGUGCUAAUUUGCCCAAUACGGUAGCUACGCGGCAAUGAAAUUCCAAAACUGGCACAAGGCGGGCCUGGUUCCAGGGAUCACUGGAUCUAAAAGAAAAAAAUCCAAUGAAUGAUGCAUCCCACUGGCAUUCCAAAGAGCAAGUAAACAAAAGAAAUUAUGGGUUUGGGCUCAGAAACCCCAACCCUUGAGAUUUCAGAAAACAAAACGACUCAUUGGCAAGAGGCACUGUAACGACUCAGGUUCAAAUCCCACCUCUGUUAUUUACCAAUUGCAUAACUUUCAGCUUCAGUGUGACCUGACCCUGAGCUUUCCAAUCCAAAAAUAGAAGUAAUGUCUAUGUC